rnacentral:rRNA from 1 species
GACGAACGCUGGCGGCGUGCUUAACACAUGCAAGUCGAACGGAAAGGCCCUCACUAUCUUGCUGGGGGUGCUCGAGUGGCGAAGGGGUGCGUAAUAAGUGGGUGCCAUGCUCUGUACUACGGGAUAAGAACGGGGAAAUGGGUAUAAUACUGGCCAGGACUAUGGCUUAGUGUCUCAGGGUGGAAAAAUUAUUGUUAUGGUUGAGGGUGGGCUCGCGGCCUAUUUGCUUGGUGGUGGGGUAAUGGCCUCACCAGGCGUCGACGGGUGGCGGGCCUGGGAGGGUGGACGGCCAAAUUGGGACGGGGGUCCGGGCCAGACUCCUACGGGAGGCAGCAGGGGGGGAUAGUGCACAAUGGGCGCAAGCCUGGUGCAGCGACGGCGCGUUGCGGAUGACGGCCUUCGGGUUGUAAACUCCUUUCGUUAGAGACGAAGCCGCACCUUUUUUGUGUGUUGUUGCGGGACCUUGGUGAAGAAGCACCGGCUAACUACGUG